rnacentral:tRNA from 1 species
GGGCGCUUGGCUCAGCGGUAGAGCAUCGCCUUCACACGGCGGGGGUCAGUGGUUCGAAUCCACUAGCGCCCA